rnacentral:rRNA from 1 species
UCGAGAAUCUUCGGCAAUGGGCGCAAGCCUGACCGAGCGACGCCGCGUGUGGGAUGAAGGCCUUCGGGUUGUAAACCGCUGUCAGAGGGGAUGAAAUGCCAGGGGGUUAUCCUUCUGGUUUGACAUAUCCUCAGAGGAAGUACGGGCUAAGUUCGUGCCAGCAGCCGCGGUAAGACGAACCGUACGAACGUUAUUCGGAAUCACUGGGCUUAAAGGGUGCGUAGGCGGCAUGGCAAGUUGGGUGUGAAAUCCCUCGACUCAACCGAGGAAUUGCGCCCAAAACUGCCUUGCUUGAGGGAGACAGAGGUGAGCGGAACUACGGGUGGAGCGGUGAAAUGCGUUGAUAUCCGUAGGAACACCGGUGGCGAAAGCGGCUCACUGGGUCUCUUCUGACGCUGAGGCACGAAAGCUAGGGUAGCGAACGGGAUUAGAUACCCCCGUAGUCC